rnacentral:rRNA from 1 species
UACGGAGGGUGCAAGCGUUAUCCGGAUUCACUGGGUUUAAAGGGCGCGUAGGCGGCCGGCCAAGUCGGGUGUGAAAUCCCUCGGCUCAACCGAGGAACUGCACUCGAUACUGGCUGGCUUGAGUCCGGGAGGGGAUGGUGGAAUUCCCAGUGUAGCGGUGAAAUGCGUAGAUAUUGGGAAGAACACCGGUGGCGAAGGCGACCAUCUGGACCGGAACUGACGCUGAGGCGCGAAAGCCAGGGGAGCGAAUGGG